GCAGCUAUUCGGAUAACCUACUUCUUUCGGUCGGUCAUCUUGUUCUUCUGCGGGUUACAGCUCGUGUGUGGGUGGGUGUAUGCGUGCGAGCGAGUGUUUGCUUGCUUGCUUGCUUGCUUGCUUACAACCAUGCCGGCCUGUCGCUGACAAAUAGUGCAACGAUUCUACAACAGGUGCCUCGCUUUCUUUUCUUCACCGCUGUUUGUACAAGACAUGAGGCCCGAGACCACGCCAGCUUGUGUGAAAGCCAGCGCAGUUUCUUUGACGGGACCUGGAGUGCAUUCAUGCAGAACUUGAAUUUAUGUUGCUGCUGCGUCAAUCAGCUUCACCUUGUGCGGUCACCUUCUGUCGUAUUUUGUGCCACAUUCGGUGCGCUUUAUUCAUUAAU